rnacentral:rRNA from 1 species
CCUACGGGAGGCAGCAGUGGGGAAUAUUGGGCAAUGGAGGAAACUCUGACCCAGCGACGCCGCGUGCGGGAUGAAGGCCUUCGGGUUGUAAACCGCUUUCAGCAGGGAAGAAGCGAAAGUGACGGUACCUGCAGAAGAAGCACCGGCUAACUAUGUGCCAGCAGCCGCGGUAAUACAUAGGGUGCAAGCGUUGUCCGGAAUUAUUGGGCGUAAAGAGCUCGUAGGUGGUUCGUCACGUCGGAUGUGAAAAUCUGGGGCUUAACCCCAGACCUGCAUUCGAUACGGGCGAGCUUGAGUAUGGUAGGGGAGUCUGGAAUUCCUGGUGUAGCGGUGGAAUGCGCAGAUAUCAGGAGGAACACCAAUGGCGAAGGCAGGACUCUGGGCCAUUACUGACACUGAGGAGCGAAAGCGUGGGGAGCGAACAGGAUUAGAUACCCUGGUAGUCCACGCCGUAAACGGUGGGCACUAGUUGUGGGGACCUUCCACGGUCUCUGCGACGCAGCUAACGCAUUAAGUGCCCCGCCUGGGGAGUACGAUCGCAAGNUUAAAACUCAAAUGAAUUGACGG